UACAGAGGUCUCGAGCGUUAGGCGGAAUCACUGGGCUUAAAGCGUGUGUAGGCGGGUCGUUAAGUGCCUUGUGAAAUCCCAUGGCUCAACCAUGGAACUGCUGGGCAUACUGGCGAUCUUGUGCCACCUAGGGGCGAGCGGAACAGAUGGUGGAGCGGUGAAAUGCGUAGAUAUCAUCUGGAACGCCAAUGGUGAAAACAGCUCGCUGGGGGUGUGCAGACGCUGAGACACGAAAGCCAGGGGAGCGAACAGG
rnacentral:rRNA from 1 species